rnacentral:misc_RNA from 2 species
UGACCAAUCCCGCUCGCGGGGUCUUGGGCACCGCCUCUGGGCGGGCCUCAAAAUCAGUGGCGGUACGGCCGGGCUCUGAGCGUAGUAAAUCUUCUCGCUACAGGGUCCCGGGCGGCACUGGCCAGCAACCCCCAAUCUUUUACA